rnacentral:rRNA from 1 species
GAAACUGCGAAUGGCUCAUUAAAUCAGUUAUCGUUUAUUUGAUAGUACCUUACUACUUGGAUAACCGUGGUAAUUCUAGAGCUAAUACAUGCUAAAAACCCCGACUUCGGAAGGGGUGUAUUUAUUAGAUAAAAAACCAAUGCCCUUCGGGGCUCCUUGGUGAUUCAUAAUAACUUAACGAAUCGCAUGGCCUUGUGCCGGCGAUGGUUCAUUCAAAUUUCUGCCCUAUCAACUUUCGAUGGUAGGAUAGUGGCCUACCAUGGUUUCAACGGGUAACGGGGAAUUAGGGUUCUAUUCCGGAGAGGGGGCCUGAGAAACGGCUACCACAUCCAAGGAAGGCAGCAGGCGCGCAAAUUACCCAAUCCCGACACGGGGAGGUAGUGACAAUAAAUACUGAUACAGGGCUCUUUUGAGUCUUGUAAUUGGAAUGAGUACAAUUUAAAUCCCUUAACGAGGAACAAUUGGAGGGCAAGUCUGGUGCCAGCAGCCGCGGUAAUUCCAGCUCCAAUAGCGUAUAUUAAAGUUGUUGCAGUUAAAAAGCUCGUAGUUGAACCUUGGGCCUGGGCUGGCCGGCCCGCCUCAC